rnacentral:rRNA from 4 species
GAUGUCUGAUUAGCUAGUUGGUGAGGUAAAGGCUUACCAAGGCGACGAUCAGUAGCUGGUCUGAGAGGACGACCAGCCACACUGGGACUGAGACACGGCCCAGACUCCUACGGGAGGCAGCAGUGGGGAAUUUUGGACAAUGGGGGAAACCCUGAUCCAGCCAUGCCGCGUGAGUGAAGAAGGCCUUCGGGUUGUAAAGCUCUUUCAGCCGGAACGAAACGGUCACGGCUAAUACCUGUGAUCACUGACGGUACCGGAAGAAGAAGCACCGGCUAACUACGUGCCAGCAGCCGCGGUAAUACGUAGGGUGCAAGCGUUAAUCGGAAUUACUGGGCGUAAAGCGUGCGCAGGCGGUUUUGUAAGUCAGAUGUGAAAUCCCCGGGCUUAACCUGGGAACU